GAUGAACGCUGGCGGCGUGCCUAAUACAUACAAGUCGAGCGAACAGACGAGGAGCUUGCUCCUCUGAUGUUAGCGGCGGACGGGUGAGUAACACGUGGAUAACCUACCUAUAAGACUGGGAUAACUUCGGGAAACCGGAGCUAAUACCGGAUAACAUGUUGAACCGCAUGGUUCAACAGUGAAAGACGGUCUUGCUGUCACUUAUAGAUGGAUCCGCGCCGCAUUAGCUAGUUGGUAAGGUAACGGCUUACCAAGGCAACGAUGCGUAGCCGACCUGAGAGGGUGAUCGGCCACACUGGAACUGAGACACGGUCCAGACUCCUACGGGAGGCAGCAGUAGGGAAUCUUCCGCAAUGGGCGAAAGCCUGACGGAGCAACGCCGCGUGAGUGAAGAAGGUCUUCGGAUCGUAAAACUCUGUUAUUAGGGAAGAACAAAUGUGUAAGUAACUAUGCACGUCUUGACGGUACCUAAUCAGAAAGCCACGGCUAACUACGUG
rnacentral:rRNA from 1 species